rnacentral:rRNA from 1 species
AUGUGGACGUACGAGGCGGGGCCGAUGGUCGGAUACGCGUACGAGCGACUGACGCGGACGCUGCGGUCGAGCGCGCGAUCGGUGAGGAUAGUCAAGGUGGCCGUGCACCAUCACCCGGCGACUCUGCUGUCACUACAAUUCUCCAAGCCGGCGGGGUUCAGAUACAAGAGCGGACAAUACAUUUUCGUCAAAUGCCCUGUUGUAUCACCAUUCGGGUGGCGCCCAUUCUUCAUCACAUCGGGGCCGGAGGACGACUACGUCAGCGUCCACAUCAAGACGCUCGGCGACUGGACCAACAAGCUCAGGAACACCUUCUUAAAGGUUUGCCGGCAGCCGACGGGUGGGAAGACCGAGAUGCUCCACACAGAGUACGACAUGCCCAACCUGAACGACGGACAUAAGAAGCUAUGGUGGCGGGGAAGAGAAGUUGAGGGAAAGAUGCGGUACCCACCAUUGGUGGGAGUGUGGCUCACCGUAGUAGGAGAAUCCAUCAACCAUGACUACCAAUAUGUCGUAGAUGCUCAAAGCCUGACGUGCACACGCUUCCGGACAUACCGCGUAUACGAGAUCACCGUGCACAAGAAAAGCGAUCGUGGAGGUGAUCGCAUUUUCUUCUCCGAUACAGUGUUCUACACUGUGGUCGGUGAGGGAUCUGGACGGAAGUGUGUCCAAGUGGGGAUGGUGUGGCGGCGGCAUCUUUCAAGUGGUGGACUUGUGUUCUGGGGCUUCGUCGUUGCGACGACGUUUUCUCCAACGUCGGAGUGGAGCCCGGGAGGUCGUCUAAGAGCUGACAGUUCUGGUUUCUUCCUCCGACGUUGUAGUCGUGCGGGAAUGUCAGUUCUGAAGCUUGAUGGCGUGUCCGGGGACAUGUUGCCCCGGUCUGAUUCGUUCAACGGCAAUGGUUUUGCUUCUGGCAAACGACUUUGGAGGUCCGUAAAGCUGUUGAUCAGUGAUGGAGCCGCGUCGAGCUCGGGUGUAGAGGUGAUCUGUCUUCCGUCCCCUUUGGUGGUCGCUUCGGUGGUGUCGAAGGAAGGAGAUAGGCGCUGCAACAAGAUCAUCGAUACCAUCAAGAGCCCACCUAAGGGAUCAACCGGAAGCCCUAAGUCAUCGUCGGUGAUUGGAUGCAACCUACAGACAUCAAGUCGCCGGUGUCACCAAAAACCCACGUUGGGCCAUCUGGCCGCCCUGCCACGUGUUCAUCAAAGUCAGCCGGCUACGGUUGCGCUGCGAACAAAUACUAAUGGGCCGAGCCCAGCUAACGCGCUGCAGCUGCCGGUUUGCAGAAACAGCUGUAACCGGCGCCUGUGGCGCCAAAUAGCAAAUUCCAUGCUGCCAGCUCAAAAGGUGUACAUUUCUAUUCCCCUCUUUUAUCUACUAGAUCGGCAACGCGCCUUGGCGCGAGGGUGCCGGUCCAACCGAUAUGUCCAAACAGCUAUAGACCAAACCGCAUGA